GGGUUGUGAGGUUAAGUGACUAAGCGUACACGGUGGAUGCCCUGGCAGUCAGAGGCGAUGAAGGACGUGCUAAUCUGCGAUAAGCGUCGGUAAGGUGAUAUGAACCGUUAUAACCGGCGAUUUCCGAAUGGGGAAACCCAGUGUGAUUCGUCACACUAUCAUUAACUGAAUCCAUAGGUUAAUGAGGCGAACCGGGGGAACUGAAACAUCUAAGUACCCCGAGGAAAAGAAAUCAACCGAGAUUCCCCCAGUAGCGGCGAGCGAACGGGGAGGAGCCCAGAGCCUGAAUCAGUGUGUGUGUUAGUGGAAGCGUCUGGAAAGGCGCGCGAUACAGGGUGACAGCCCCGUACACAAAAAUGCACAUGCUGUGAGCUCGAUGAGUAGGGCGGGACACGUGGUAUCCUGUCUGAAUAUGGGGGGACCAUCCUCCAAGGCUAAAUACUCCUGACUGACCGAUAGUGAACCAGUACCGUGAGGGAAAGGCGAAAAGAACCCCGGCGAGGGGAGUGAAAAAGAACCUGAAACCGUGUACGUACAAGCAGUGGGAGCACAGAGCAAUCUGUGUGACUGCGUACCUUUUGUAUAAUGGGUCAGCGACUUAUAUUCUGUAGCAAGGUUAACCGAAUAGGGGAGCCGAAGGGAAACCGAGUCUUAACUGGGCGUUAAGUUGCAGGGUAUAGACCCGAAACCCGGUGAUCUAGCCAUGGGCAGGUUGAAGGUUGGGUAACACUAACUGGAGGACCGAACCGACUAAUGUUGAAAAAUUAGCGGAUGACUUGUGGCUGGGGGUGAAAGGCCAAUCAAACCGGGAGAUAGCUGGUUCUCCCCGAAAGCUAUUUAGGUAGCGCCUCGUGAAUUCAUCUCCGGGGGUAGAGCACUGUUUCGGCAAGGGGGUCAUCCCGACUUACCAACCCGAUGCAAACUGCGAAUACCGGAGAAUGUUAUCACGGGAGACACACGGCGGGUGCUAACGUCCGUCGUGAAGAGGGAAACAACCCAGACCGCCAGCUAAGGUCCCAAAGUCAUGGUUAAGUGGGAAACGAUGUGGGAAGGCCCAGACAGCCAGGAUGUUGGCUUAGAAGCAGCCAUCAUUUAAAGAAAGCGUAAUAGCUCACUGGUCGAGUCGGCCUGCGCGGAAGAUGUAACGGGGCUAAACCAUGCACCGAAGCUGCGGCAGCGACACUAUGUGUUGUUGGGUAGGGGAGCGUUCUGUAAGCCUGUGAAGGUGUGCUGUGAGGCAUGCUGGAGGUAUCAGAAGUGCGAAUGCUGACAUAAGUAACGAUAAAGCGGGUGAAAAGCCCGCUCGCCGGAAGACCAAGGGUUCCUGUCCAACGUUAAUCGGGGCAGGGUGAGUCGACCCCUAAGGCGAGGCCGAAAGGCGUAGUCGAUGGGAAACAGGUUAAUAUUCCUGUACUUGGUGUUACUGCGAAGGGGGGACGGAGAAGGCUAUGUUGGCCGGGCGACGGUUGUCCCGGUUUAAGCGUGUAGGCUGGUUUUCCAGGCAAAUCCGGAAAAUCAAGGCUGAGGCGUGAUGACGAGGCACUACGGUGCUGAAGCAACAAAUGCCCUGCUUCCAGGAAAAGCCUCUAAGCAUCAGGUAACAUCAAAUCGUACCCCAAACCGACACAGGUGGUCAGGUAGAGAAUACCAAGGCGCUUGAGAGAACUCGGGUGAAGGAACUAGGCAAAAUGGUGCCGUAACUUCGGGAGAAGGCACGCUGAUAUGUAGGUGAAGCGACUUGCUCGUGGAGCUGAAAUCAGUCGAAGAUACCAGCUGGCUGCAACUGUUUAUUAAAAACACAGCACUGUGCAAACACGAAAGUGGACGUAUACGGUGUGACGCCUGCCCGGUGCCGGAAGGUUAAUUGAUGGGGUCAGCGCAAGCGAAGCUCUUGAUCGAAGCCCCGGUAAACGGCGGCCGUAACUAUAACGGUCCUAAGGUAGCGAAAUUCCUUGUCGGGUAAGUUCCGACCUGCACGAAUGGCGUAAUGAUGGCCAGGCUGUCUCCACCCGAGACUCAGUGAAAUUGAACUCGCUGUGAAGAUGCAGUGUACCCGCGGCAAGACGGAAAGACCCCGUGAACCUUUACUAUAGCUUGACACUGAACAUUGAGCCUUGAUGUGUAGGAUAGGUGGGAGGCUU
rnacentral:rRNA from 1 species